rnacentral:sRNA from 1 species
GGUGGGAUUGGGGAUGAAGGUGUUGACCCGCCCGCCCAUCACCGCCCAGGUGCGCUUGCCGUCCUGGUACAUCUGCACGCCGCGGCGGCUGAAUUCUUU